AACGAACGCUGGCGGCGUGCUUAACACAUGCAAGUCGAGCGGUAAGGCCCUUUCGGGGGUACACGAGCGGCGAACGGGUGAGUAACACGUGGGUGACCUGCCCUCAGCUCUGGGAUAAGCCUGGGAAACCGGGUCUAAUACUGGAUAUGACUCCAUGACGCAUGUUGUGGGGUGGAAAGCCUUGUGCGGCUGAGGAUGGGCCCGCGGCCUAUCAGCUUGUUGGUGGGGUGANGGCCUACCAAGGCGACGACGGGUAGCCGGCCUGAGAGGGCGACCGGCCACACUGGGACUGAGACACGGCCCAGACUCCUACGGGAGGCAGCAGUGGGGAAUCUUGCGCAAUGGGCGAAAGCCUGACGCAGCGACGCCGCGUGAGGGAUGACGGCCUGGUU
rnacentral:rRNA from 1 species